CAAAUGAACCCAGUUAUUUCCCAAAUGAGUUUAUAGAUGUUUAUUUCUUAAAUCAGGACCCAGUAAGAUUUACAUGUUGCAUUUUUUUCAGUCUCUGGUAGUCUAGAACAGCUACACAUGGUGAGGUUUGGGACCGCAGCAUCAGAGCACCUGGAACCUGUUAGAGAUGCAGCUUCUUUGGCCCUGCUCCUGACCUCCUGUCUCCAAACUCUGGGGGUGGAGCCUGGGAAUCUGUGUUUCAGCCAGCCAUGUGAUUCUUAUUCAUGCACAAGUUUGCGAAUCACUGAUAGACCAGGCCAACUUUUCUUCCCCCUAGUUCCUUGUCCUUCACCAUCUCCUGGAGAUUGCUCAAACUCGUGUCCAUCAAGUCGGUGAUGCCAUCCAACCAUCUUGUCCUCUGUUGUCCCCUUCUCUUCCUUCAAUCUUUCCCAGCAUCAGGGUCUUUUCCAUUCAGUCGGCUCUUCGCAUCAGGUGGCCAAAGUAUUAGAGUGUAGGAAUUUAGAACCAGAAAAUUGGCUUCCAUGUGUUGUGCUGUGCUUAGUCGCUGAGUUGUGUCCAACUCUUUGCAACCACACAGACUGUGAAGUAGUACUUAAAAAAAGAAAAAGAAAAACAGGGAAGAAUACAAAGGCAGUUAUCCCCUGAUCCAUGAAGAAGAAACAAACAUGGUUUCGUUGCAACGGGAGAAGGAUCCAUUCAGGACCAACCAAACACAACGCAGACACCAACGAGGACAAGACUGAGAGGAAGGGGAAUCGCACUCUUUCCAGCUGGGAAUCACUCUGAGAUGACACCGGUUGGGGGGACUGGCAGCCAUCCUACACCACCGGCAGAGAGGAAGAAGUCCCGGAAUAAGUUGACACAGAAGGGGCCGAGCUGGUGGAGAGGGAAAUCCAUCGCGGUGUUGAAAUUGAAGCCUCUGCAUAAGCUGCCCCUGAUUUGUGCUUCACUUUUACAAAUCAGUUUCAAAUCAGCCAGUCUGUGUUGGUUUAUCUAUUCCAGCUGCUCUGCUGCUGCUGCUGCUGCUGCUUAGCCACUUCAGUCGUGUCCAACUCUGUGGGACCCUGUGGACUGUAGGCCUUGCCAGGCUCCUCUGUCCAUGGGAUUCUCCAUGCAAGAAUACUGGAGUGGGUUGCCAUUCCCUUCUCCAGGGCAUCUUCCCAACCCAGGGAUCGAACCCGGGUCUCCUGCAUUGCAGGCAGAUUCUUUACCACUAAGCCACCAGGGAAGCCCCGUUUACCUGUUAUUCGGGAUCAAAUGGAUCCUGAUGAACACUCAGGUAAUCUCAGCAUGAGAAGUGAGAAUCUAGACCCAGAAGCGCUCAGUGGCUUCUAGAAAUCAAUGUUACCUAUGUUGAUCCGUGGCUGCUGUGGGACAGGACCCCAUAGAUACUGGUGGUUUCAGGGGUCUUACAGAUUAGGUUUCUCUGCCUACCAGUCAGAGCUCUCUCUCUCUCUCUCUUUAAACUUAUUUGGCUGCAUUGGGUCUUAUUUGUAGCACACCGACUUAGUUGCCCUGUGGCAUAUGGAAUCUUCCCGGGCCAAAGAUAGAACCUGUGCCCCUUGCAUUGCAAGGUGGGUUCUUUACCAUUGGGCCCGCAGGGAAGUCCAGUUAGAGCUCUUUG
ensembl:lncRNA